UGGUUUUGGCGGGGAACUGCGAGACGAGAGCGCUCUGGGGCUAACUUGGCGACUGGAUCUUCCUCGCCUCGUCGAACUUCUCGCUUGCAUCGGGUAGGUAUUUCUCCUUUCCCUGAUUCUCCUUCUCCCAGAUUAAAGAUCUCUAUGGUUGAUAUUUCCUUUCUGUCUUCGUUCUCAGAAUUCCCAAUUUGAUUGUGAAACUGAAAAAUUCCUAUAAUUUUUCCAUUGUUGCAGUAUGCCUUGAGGUCAUACCUUCAAUUAAUUUUCAAUGGCACAAUUCACUACGUGAGUGACAUUUCCAUCUCAGUUUUUAGUUCCUAGAUUUUUCUUUUGUUCUGUAACUAGA
rnacentral:lncRNA from 1 species